rnacentral:rRNA from 1 species
GUGGGGAAUAUUGCGCAAUGGGGGAAACCCUGACGCAGCGACGCCGUGUGAGGGAAGAAGGCUUUCGGGUCGUAAACCUCUGUCAGAAAGGAAGAACCUCCCAAGUCCGAAUAGGGCUUGGGACUGACGGUACUUUCAAAGGAAGCACCGGCUAACUCCGUGCCAGCAGCCGCGGUAAUACGGAGGGUGCAAGCGUUAAUCGGAAUCACUGGGCGUAAAGCGCGCGUAGGCCGCUUUGUAAGUCGGACGUGAAAGCCCUCGGCUCAACCGGGGAACUGCGUUCGAUACUGCGAGGCUUGAGUCCUGGAGAGGGUGGCGGAAGUCCGGGUGUAGGAGUGAAAGCCGUAGAUAUCCGGAGGAACACCGGUGGCGAAGGCGGCCACCUGGACAGGUACUGACGCUGAGGCGCGAAAGCGUGGGGAGCAAACAGGAUUAGAAACCCGGGUAGUCC